rnacentral:rRNA from 1 species
ACUCAAAGGAAUUGACGGGGGCCCGCACAAGCGGUGGAGCAUGUGGUUUAAUUCGAAGCAACGCGAAGAACCUUACCAAGGCUUGACAUGGAGAUGAUCGGCACAGAGAUGUGUCUUCCUUUCGGGGCAUCUCACACAGGUGGUGCAUGGUUGUCGUCAGCUCGUGUCGUGAGAUGUUGGGUUAAGUCCCGCAACGAGCGCAACCCUUACGUCCAGUUGCCAGCACAUAAUGGUGGGCUACACUGGAGGGACUGCCGUGGACAACACGGAGGAAGGUGGGGAUGACGUCAAAUCAUCAUGCCCCUUAUGUCUUGGGCUACACACGUGCUACAAUGGGCAAAACAACGUGCAGCAAGGCAGUGAUGCCAAGCGAAACACUAAAAAGUGCCCUCAGUUCGAAUUGCAGGCUGCAACCCGCCUGCAUGAAGUUGGAAUCGCUAGUAAUCGCGAAUCAGCAUGUCGCGGUGAAUACGUUCCCGGGCCUUGUACACACCGCCCGU